rnacentral:rRNA from 1 species
ACGCGCACGCUUUCCAUGUGCACGUAUACGUGAGCCGCGCAGCGAGUUGCACACAUGUGGUGGUGGUGGCCGUCAGCCGUGCUCCUUCUUCCGAGGAGGAGGGCAGACAAUGGUCUGCAGCUUGCUGUGUGUUUAGAGGGGAUAGGUGACGCGUUGGGCGGGUUAGAAAGAUGCGUCGCUAGCGCCUAACCUCUCGCUAUUGUAACAACGGUGUCCAUGUUGGCGUCUACACCUCACCUAGCUAUCGCCUGGACCGUCGGUAGCGAUGAAAGGUGGGGACAGAGCUCCUUGCUUGCCACCUCUCUUGCCGGAGGGGGCGCGCGAGUCGAGUAGACUUAAUGAGCCUCAGCUAGGAGGCCGCCAGCCCCAAAACACAACCAGUCUAAUGUUGUUGUUGGAAUUGUGGCUCGUCGUCAUGCGGCGACGAGUUUUGUGAGUGUAUAAAUCUUAGCGGUGGAUCACUCGGUUCGUGGAUCGAUGAAGAACGCAGCGCUGCGAUAAAUAGUGCGAAUUGCAGACACAUUGAGCACUAAGAAUUCGAACGCACAUUGCGCCAUCGGGUUCAUUCCCGUUGGCACGUCUGGCUGAGGGUCGAAUUAUCGACAAAGAUCCGCACCGCGUAUGCGGCGCGGUGUAUUCGGCGAGCUAUGGUGGCGGGUUGUUGUGUGUGCACUCUUGUGCAUGCGCAUGCCGUCGUCGUAUCUUGCUUAGGCUAUGUGUGCCCAAAUUGCUUAUCGCAAUCAUUUGCUCCAUGCGAGGCGAUGAUGGCCGUCAAAAUGCACAUCUCUCCCAGAUGCGGCUCCGAGCGCACUACGUGUUAUAGCUUGGAGUUUGCGUCACGCUUUCAGUGGAGGGAAGGGCUUGAUGGUGGCUGUCAACUUGCUUUGACCUCAGCUCAGUCGUGAUUACCCGCUGAAUUUAAGCAUAUAACUA